AACCCCAGACCUGCACUCGAUACGGGUUAGCUAGAGUUUGGUAGGGGAGACUGGAAUUCCUGGUGUAGCGGUGGAAUGCGCAGAUAUCAGGAGGAACACCAAUGGCGAAGGCAGGUCUCUGGGCCAAUACUGACACUGAGGAGCGAAANNGGGGAGCGAACAGGAUUAGAUACCCUGGUAGUCCGCGCCGUAAACGGUGGNCNCUAGUUGUGGGAACCUUCCACGGUUUCUGCGAC
rnacentral:rRNA from 1 species